UACGAAGGGGGCGAGCGUUGUUCGGAUUUACUGGGCGUAAAGGGCGCGCAGGCGGUUCUGUUUGUCGAGUGUGAAAGCCCCGGGCUCAACCUGGGAACUGCGCUCGAAACGGCAGAACUAGAGUUCGGGAGAGGAGAGUGGAAUUCCCAGUGUAGAGGUGAAAUUCGUAGAUAUUGGGAAGAACACCGGUGGGCGAAGGCGGCGACCUGGUCCUUGACUGACGCUGAGGCGCGAAAGCGUGGGGAGCAAACAGG
rnacentral:rRNA from 1 species